CCUUUUGGAGGGUUUGAUCCUGGCUCAGAGUGAACGCUGGCGGCGUGGAUUAGGCAUGCAAGUCGAGCGGU
rnacentral:rRNA from 1 species